rnacentral:lncRNA from 1 species
CAGUACAACAGUAUUGUCUAAAAUGAAGGAUCAGGACACGAGGACUACAAGAGACUGCAAUACCCUGUCCAGAAAGACUGAUGCAAUGCAGAAUUACUACUAGCCACCGUAAGGCUUCCUGGGAGAGCUACAAGAUUUUUAUGGAUUUUUAGAAGUUAAAUGCGAGCAUAACUGAGUAAGUUUUUGUAAGAUGUAUUUUUAGAUGUUUUAGAAAAAACUUCAUUAAAGGAACACUGUAGGCACUGUAACAACUUAAUGUCAUUUAAGUGGUUGUUAGAGUGCCUUAAAUAUUUUCAUCCUCUUAUUUAAAAAAAUUUUUUUUUUAUUCUUUAUGAAGGCUUUGAAGAGCAGCUUUAAGCCAUGUCCCCAAACCAGUCGAUUAUGAGAGCCAGGAAUGUAACUUCCCUGCUCUUGUACCCAAUCAUACUCUGACGUCAGCACGCAUAACUGUCGUUGGGUAUCAUUUUGCCGCCUAAUGCACGCUCCCGCGAUAUCAGAAAUUCGUCUAUUCAUUCAUCAGAAAGACGAAUGAACGAAUAGAAAUUUCACACAAACAAACAAAGACCGAAUGUUGGUGUUCGUUUGCUCGUUCGGCUUUCAUAAUAUGUAAUAUGUAAUAUGCUCCCCGCCACUUCCUAACCCUCCACAUGUCCUCCCUCACUCUAUGGGGGUCAAUAUGACCCCUAUAUUAGCAUAAGGGAGAUUAAAAUCUCCCGCAUGCCCCUACUCGCUAUGCCACGAGUAAGGGCAUAUCUAGUAAACAGUGAGCACUGCGGUGAACCCCCAUCUACUAACUAGCCCCCCACCCAUCGAUUAAUUAGCAGGGGGACAUAGUGUCCACCCGAGACAAUGAGCGGCGGGUGAAAAUAGGGGGGACCUAUUGACCUCACCCUUGAGCGGUAUGUGGGGGCCCAAGAUGAUAUGGGGGCAUCUAUUGCCCCCUCCCCAGCCCCCACCUAUGUGUGGCGGGUGGGGGCCCAAAAUUACAAUGGUGGGAACCUAUUGAUUCCCCCCGGCCCCACCCAAGAGUGACGGGUGGGGGCUACGUGAAAACCCCCAAGCCCCCACAAGGUGUCUAGGGGUCCCCAGGCCCCUUCGUUGCCCCCCUCCCUUUAAAUAAAUUACUACCUACCCCCCUCAACCUAAAUAUUGUGAGGGAGGAAGUAGUAAAUCUACAUGUAAAAAAACAAAACUUAUACUUACCAUUAGAUGUCUUAUUUUUUUCAGCCCCCAAAAAGGCCAAAUAAAAAUCCAUAAUUUAUGUUGAACUUCUAAAAUAAAAAAAAUAACCAGAGCGCAAAAAAAAAAAGACGCCGGAAAAAAUAAUCCCAACACUAAAAAAUUCACCAUCUUCACCCAGUGAGGGCAUCAUGCAGACUGAGGGUGGGUAAAUGGUUAUAAAUCUUUCCCACACCCUGCAAUUUGACUCAGAGCGCUCUGAUUGGUUGGUUUAAGCCAACCAAUAAGAGUGCUCUGAUAGAUAAAUAGUGAGCCUUACCUGAUUGGGUACCUGUAAGGCUCACUGUUCACCUAUCAGAGCACUCUUAUUGGUUGGCUUGGAAUCCAACCAAUCAGAGUGCUCUGAGUAAAAUGACUCGGAACACUCUGAUUGGUUGGAUUCCAAGCGUCAGAAAACAAGGUAAAUACUUAUUUUAAAUGUAAAUAUUACUAAUUAUUAAAUAAUUGAAAUGAUGUUUGGUGAUAUACAGUAUAUUAAUAUAUAUAAAAUACAUCUGAAAUAUAAUAAUCUGGAAGAAAGUAUAGUGUUCCUUUAAGUGGAUUUUCAAUCUUUUUUAAGAGAACUUAGAAUUGGAUCUCUAUAACAAAUCUGGUAGAGUAUUAGAAUAAUUUACCCAGGGUUAUUAUCUAAAGUGAGCAUUCAAAGUGAAUUUAAAUUUUAAGGUCAACUUGGCCGAAUUGGGAAAAAUAUCUUUAAGUAUGCUAUGCUUUCAGUUCAUCUACUCUAGUCUUAAUUUAAACUGUCUUCGAAUUCUCACUGGUAGGAUCAUUUACUAAACCGAGAAUGCAAAGUGAAGUUCAAAUGUAAAAGCAAAAUAGCUGAAAUGGAAGCAUAGUAGAUUUGGAGAAUUUUACCUUUGACCUGAAAUUCGAACUUCUUUUUAAAUUAACAUUUUUAGUAAGUGACUCUAAUUCAGUGAUCUCAUGACCCACCUUGGUCAGCAGGCUUUAUGAAGAUUACUAUGUUUUAAGGUUUUAAAGGCAUCUUUUUCUGCAGUGGUGGUCAUGGUAAAUCCCAUGUAACCAAGCCUGCAAGCGUUUCAAUCUCAUAUUUACGUUUGUUGCACAAGCCUAAAUAAUUAGCAGCAAAAAGUAUAAUAUCGCCUAUAGUCAAAUUAUUGAAAUCAUCGGUGUUAUUCAUUUCAACAGGGACAAACAAUAUUUUUAAACAAAUAUUCCUAGUAAAACUCUCCAUAGAGAAACUAAAUGAGUCAAAAUCAUUCAUAAGGUAAUAUGAAAGUUCUUUGGAUAUUUCAGUCCCAGACAAUUCGAUGACUGAUAAGCUUAUAACAGUCACUUUUUCUUGCUCUAAUUGUACAUUUGUGAAUAUGUUUUUUGUUGUUGUCAAUCUUUGUUUUAUUGAGGUAUUUGCAAACAAACACAGCAUGUACAUAAUAAAUGCUUAACAACUCUUGUUUUAAAGGUAUAUUUGCUCACCACAACAGUGCGAACAAACGUCAAGCAAGCUAUGUCAUCGCAAUAACAGGGUGUAAGACAAAAU